rnacentral:lncRNA from 1 species
CAGCUAGAAGUCAACAAGGAUAUGCCUCAAACCCCAUUCUCCAGCUCAAUGAAGGUCUCUAUGACACAACUCUGUGCUAUGUCCCCCAGUUCAGCACUCAGAUUCUAUAUUUUUCAGAAAAGGAACUGAACAAAAAUAUACCAAACUGGCUACCUUUGGGUGGUAGAAGCUGUUUUUAUUUUAUACACAUCUAUGUGUUGCAGAUUUUCUUUCAUGCAUUCAUAAUCUAAAGAAAGUAAUAAAUGUUUUUAUUUAAAAAAAUAAUACAACAUUGAGAAAAAAGAAUAGCCUCAGAAAUCUAAAUGUACACACACACUCUUUGGCAGGAAAGAUGAAAGGGUCUUAAAUCACAGGCCCAGGUUGCCAAGGAAGUGAAAGCCCAAGCCUGACAAAUAUUCCCUGUCAGAUGGCAGGCCCCUGGGCUGGUGCUGGCCAGGACCCUCCUUUCACAAAGCCAUUGCCUUGAGAGAUUCUCAUUAUCUCACUGGCUCUGAGACUACUAGUUUGUUGGGUUUUUCUCUUUUAAAAAAAUGUUGUCACUAAUAAUUUCAGGUACUGAAGCAAAAAUUCCAGACAGCACAUCCUCUGCCAACACUUCUACUCUUGGCCCUGCUCUCCAGGAUCUCAGGCUGCUACUCUGCUUAGUGUGGCAACCUACUCAGGCUACAGCCAUGUGUCCAUCUCUUUCCUGCUGUCUUCCUGACCAACAGAAGUAGCCCAUUAGUAUACUGGGUUUUGUUGCUUUUUUUAACUUUGAUAAUCACAUUAUUGGGCAUAAAUGUAGCUAUACUUGUGAGCAAAGCAUGAUGUAUAAACUUGUUGAAUCACUAUGUGGUAUACCUAAACUAACCUAACAUUGUGUGUCAACUAUACCCAAAUUAAAAAAAUUCUAAAAAUUGAAUUCCAAAAAAAUAAUAAAUUUCAGUUUAUUCAUUUAUGCACUAUGUAACAAGCUAGCUGUUUUAAUAUGUAUGGCUUCAGUUUCUUCAUUCGUAAAAUAAGUAUAAAAGAAAUAGCCACAUCAUUGAAUUGUUAUGAGGAUUCGAUGAGUUACAUUGCCUGAGAAAUUAAGUAAUAAAGAGAAUGAGAAUAAUGUCUGGCACCUGGUAAAUGCUAUAUGAUUGUUUGCUAUUGCCAUUAUGUACUGAGUACUGUCAAACAAUUCUUUAUGCUUAUCACAACAUAUCAAGUAGGCAC